AGCGAAUAGAUACCCAGGUAGUCCACGCCGUAAACUAUGGACGCUAGCUGUUAGAAGUAUCGACCCUUCUAGUAGCGAAAGCUAACGCGUUAAGCGUCCCGCCUGUGGAGUACGAGCGCAAGCUUAAAACAUAAAGGAAUUGACGGGGACCCGCACAAGCGGUGGAGCGUGUUGUUUAAUUCGAUGCUAAGCGAAGAACCUUACCCAGGUUUGACAUCCUGCUAAUUUCUCCGAAAGGAGAGAGUGCCUUCGGGCCGCAGUGACAGGUGUUGCAUGGCCGUCGUCAGCUCGUGUCGUGAGGUGUUUGAUUAAGUCCAUCAACGAGCGCAACCCUUUUGUUUAGUUGUAUUUCUCUAAACAGACUGCCCUGGUAACAGGG
rnacentral:rRNA from 1 species